ACACUCCUGCGGGAGGCAGCAGUGGGGAAUAUUGGACAAUGGGCGCAAGCCUGAUCCAGCCAUGCCGCGUGAGUGAUGAAGGCCCUAGGGUUGUAAAGCUCUUUCACCGGUGAAGAUAAUGACGGUAACCGGAGAAGAAGCCCCGGCUAACUUCGUGCCAGCAGCCGCGGUAAUACGAAGGGGGCUAGCGUUGUUCGGAUUUACUGGGCGUAAAGCGCACGUAGGCGGACUAUUAAGUCAGGGGUGAAAUCCCGGGGCUCAACCCCGGAACUGCCUUUGAUACUGGUAGUCUUGAGUUCGAGAGAGGUGAGUGGAAUUCCGAGUGUAGGGGUGAAAUUCGUAGAUAUUCGGAGGAACACCAGUGGCGAAGGCGGCUCACUGGCUCGAUACUGACGCUGAGGUGCGAAAGCGUGGGGAGCAAACAGGAUUAGAUACCCGGGUAGUCC
rnacentral:rRNA from 1 species